UACGUAGGGGGCAAGCGUUGUCCGGAUUCAUUGGGCGUAAAGGGUGCGUAGGCGGCGCGGUAAGUCGGGUGUGAAAUUUCGGAGCUUAACUCCGAAACUGCAUUCGAUACUGCCGUGCUUGAGGACUGGAGAGGAGACUGGAAUUUACGGUGUAGCGGUGAAAUGCGUAGAUAUCGUAAGGAAGACCAGUGGCGAAGGCGGGUCUCUGGACAGUUCCUGACGCUGAGGCACGAAGGUCAGGGGAGCAAACGGG
rnacentral:rRNA from 1 species